rnacentral:rRNA from 1 species
UACGAAGGGGGCUAGCGUUGUUCGGAAUUACUGGGCGUAAAGCGCGCGUAGGCGGAUUGUUAAGUCAGGGGUGAAAUCCUGGAGCUCAACUCCAGAACUGCCUUUGAUACUGGCGAUCUCGAGUCCGGGAGAGGUGAGUGGAACUGCGAGUGUAGAGGUGAAAUUCGUAGAUAUUCGCAAGAACACCAGUGGCGAAGGCGGCUCACUGGCCCGGUACUGACGCUGAGGUGCGAAAGCGUGGGGAGCAAACAGG